AUUGAACGCUGGCGGCAUGCUUUACACAUGCAAGUCGAACGGCAGCGCGGGCUUCGGCCUGCGGCGAGUGGCGAACGGGUGAGUAAUACAUCGGAACGUGCCCAGUAGUGGGGGAUAGCUCGGCGAAAGCCGGAUUAAUACCGCAUACGACCUGAGGGUGAAAGCGGGGGAUCUUCGGACCUCGCGCUAUUGGAGCGGCCGAUGGCAGAUUAGCUAGUUGGUGGGGUAAAGGCCUACCAAGGCGACGAUCUGUAGCUGGUCUGAGAGGACGACCAGCCACACUGGGACUGAGACACGGCCCAGACUCCUACGGGAGGCAGCAGUGGGGAAUUUUGGACAAUGGGCGAAAGCCUGAUCCAGCAAUGCCGCGUGUGUGAUGAAGGCCUUCGGGUUGUAAAGCACUUUUGGCGGGAACGAAAAGGACUGUGCCAAUACCACGGUUCGAUGACGGUACCCGCAGAAUAAGCACCGGCUAACUACGUG
rnacentral:rRNA from 1 species